GACGAACGCUGGCGGCGUGCCUAAUACAUGCAAGUCGAGCGGACUUUCAAGAAGCUUGCUUUUUGAAAGUUAGCGGCGGACGGGUGAGUAACACGUGGGCAACCUGCCUGCAAGACGGGGAUAACUCCGGGAAACCGGGGCUAAUACCGGAUAAUAUCUUCCUUCGCAUGAAGGAAGGUUGAAAGGCGGCGCACGCUGCCGCUUGCAGAGGUGCCCGCGGCGCUUUAGCUAGUUGGUGAGGUAACCGCUCACCAAGGCGACGAUGCGUAGCCGACCUUAGAGGGUGGUCGGCCACACUGGGACUGAGACACGGCCCAGACUCCUACGGGAGGCAGCAGUAGGGAAUCUUCCGAAAUGGGCGAAAGUCUGACGGAGCAACGCCGCGUGAGCGAAGAAGGUCUUCGGAUCGUAAAGCUCUGUUGUCAGGGAAGAACAAGUACCGUUCGAACAGGGCGGUACCUUGACGGUACCUGACCAGAAAGCCACGGCUAACUACGUG
rnacentral:rRNA from 1 species